rnacentral:rRNA from 1 species
GACGAACGCUGGCGGCGUGCUUAACACAUGCAAGUCGAACGAUGAAGCCGGAGCUUGCUCUGGUGGAUUAGUGGCGAACGGGUGAGUAACACGUGAGUAACCUGCCCUUGACUCUGGAGUAAGCGUUGGAAACGACGUCUAAUACCGGAUACGAGCUAGGACCGCAUGGUCACUAGCUGGAAAGAACUUCGGUCAAGGAUGGACUCGCGGCCUAUCAGCGAGCGGGUGAGGUAACGGCUCACCAAGGCGACGACGGGUAGCCGGCCUGAGAGGGUGACCGGCCACACUGGGACUGAGACACGGCCCAGACUCCUACGGGAGGCAGCAGUGGGGAAUAUUGCACAAUGGGCGCAAGCCUGAUGCAGCAACGCCGCGUGAGGGACGACGGCCUUCGGGUUGUAAACCUCUUUUAGCAGGGAAGAAGCGCAAGUGACGGUACCUGCAGAAAAAGCACCGGCUAACUACGUGCCAGCCGCCGCCGUAACAC